rnacentral:rRNA from 1 species
UCUUUCUUUGCUGGCGACCGGCGCACGGGUGGGUAACACGUAUCCAACCUGCCCUUUACUCGGGGAUAGCCUUUCGAAAGAAAGAUUAAUACCCGAUAGCAUAAUGAUUCCGCAUGGUUUCAUUAUUAAAGGAUUCCGGUAAAGGAUGGGGAUGCGUUCCAUUAGGUUGUUGGUGAGGUAACGGCUCACCAAGCCUUCGAUGGAUAGGGGUUCUGAGAGGAAGGUCCCCCACAUUGGAACUGAGACACGGUCCAA